AUUGAACGCUGGCGGCAGGCCUAACACAUGCACGUCGAACGAGUGGCGGACGGGUGAGUAAUGUCUGGGAAACUGCCCGAUGGAGGGGGAUAACUACUGGAAACGGUCGCUAAUACCGCAUACCAUCGGAUGUGCCCAGCUGGGAUUAGCUCGUAGGUGGGGUAACGGCUCACCGAGGCGACCAUCCCUAGCUGGUCUGUGCGGAUGACCAGCCACACUGGAACUGAGACACGGUCCAGAAUCCUACGGGAGGCAGCAGUGGGGAAUAUUGCACAAUGGGGGCAAGCCUGAUGCAGCCAUGCCGCGUGUAUGAAGAAGGCGUUCGGGUUGUAAAGUACUUUCAGCGAGGAGGCGUUACUCGCAGAAGAAGCACCGGCUAACUCCGUGCCAGCAGCCGCGGUAAUAC
rnacentral:rRNA from 1 species